AGGAGCACUGUGGACAGCAGAUCACCUGCAGGGUUUCAGCUAUGGGAAGAGGAGGGUGUGCAUUCAAGGCUCCCUUGGGAAACCUUGGUAUCAGAAGAGAAGCAGGACUUAGACAAAUUUCUGGAGAAAAAUAUAUUUGAGGGGCUUGUCAAGGAGAAGAGUCUGAAAGAAAAGGAAUAUGGACAGACAGAAGGAGCAGAAUCAAGAGGCCACGGCAAGGACUGUACAGACGACACGGCUCCCUUGCCUGCUUGCUUGGAGACAAGCACAUCUCUGCCUGCCCUGUGGAAGUCAGCCGGGAAAUCCAACUCACGUUCCAUAUUUAACCCUGUCUGCGCAAACUCCCUGCAUGGUGGGAAAGGGACGAGUUCACCUGUGAUCACGCGUGGGUAACUGCAGGUCUGCUGUUUCGAGGAGUGAGGGAAGGUUUUUCUGACAUGACAGGCUCACCUGCAGGCCACACCGAAGAGCCACACAGAGCCCUGAAGAUGCUGCCUCUGCCCAAAGGGCCCUGCGCUUGCCUUGACUGGGGCCACCUCCAUGCCGGCACUGUGCACCUGGGGGCCGGAGCAGCUUCCUGUCCCUCUGACACCCAGCUGGAGAGAGGUAGCUGCUGAAGAGCCCACAGAGUAGUGGGUGAGCAAGGACGCUGUCCCCUGGAGGAGCUUGAGUGCACCGGGCGAGGGCCUCAUCUGUCCCUGUGUCCCGUCAUUCCCAGGGAAUCUGACAGCCGGAGAGAAGCUGCCAUCUCUUUGCCUGGCCCUGGUGUCAUCCUUGUGAGAGAUAGUUUCUUCUCCCAGCGGUGAGUCAAUGCACCCUCAUUUCAUAGGCACAGAGACCCAGCCGGGAGGGGAAGGCACCCCGGGCGGUGGGGAUGGUGUUGACGGUGGGGAUGGUGUUGACGAGCGCCCCCUGGUGACCUCAACCCUGUCAGACAUCGCCUGAGCU